rnacentral:rRNA from 1 species
ACCCGGUUGAAAUUAAGCAUAUAAGUAGGUGGUGGAAAAACAAACCAAAUGGGAUUCUUCAAGUAAUGGCGAAUGAACCUAGAUAUGCUCAAUUUGAAAAAUACAGUGAUACUGUUUGACAUGUAAUUUCAAAAUGUACAACCAAUUGGCAUGCAAGUGGAAGCUCAUUGAAAGAAUGCGUCGAAGAAGGUGAAAAUCCAUUUUGCCACUUGUAAUGUUGUUGUUUAUGGUGUAUAUUUCAGGAGUCACAUUCCUUGGCAUUGGAAUGCAAUGUGGGUGGUAAACUUCAUGCAAAGAUUAAUAUGUGUUUGAGAUUGAUAGUACACAAAUACCGUGAGGGAAAUAUGAAAAGGACUUUGAAAAGAGAUUUAAAAGAGUUUGCAGUUGCUGAACAAAAAACAAAUAGGAUGUCCACGAUUGAGCAGAUUGUUGAACCUCGGUUUGCUUCAAUUGCUAGCAUGUGUGUAUUCAAUGAUUCUAUCUUUGUCUACCAUACCAUUCUCAGCGUAUCAUGACACUUGCAGGUGCUUCGUGUUUUUGCUUGCGAGCUAAUGACAACACCUGCUUGAGAAUGGUAUGCCAAGUGUUCAUUGUGCUUAGAGUCUGCAUGGUGCUAUUGUUAAGCUGCAGGUUUGAACUUGUGCUUUGAGCUGUGCUCUACCUUUUGCAUAUGUCUAUUGGUGAUCAUAUCCUGCUUGACCCGUCUUGAAACACGGACCAAGGAGUCUAAUAGAUGUGCAAGCUUUGAAACUGCUAUUUUGUUUAAACCAAUGAAAUUAAGAGCUGGGAUUUUUGCACCAGCAACCAAUUGAUUGGUGGGUAAAGCCUUGAGUUGGAGCAUAUUUAUUAGGACCCGAAAGAUGGUGAACUAUGCCUGAAGAGAAUGAAUCAGAGGAAACUCUGACGGAAGUUCGCAUCAAUACUGACGU